GUGAGGAAUUUUCCGCAAUGGGCGAAAGCCUGACGGAGCAAUGCCGCGUGAAGGAUGAAGGCCUAUGGGUUGUAAACUUCUUUUCUCAGAAAAGAAUUAUGACGGUAUCUGAGGAAUAAGCAUCGGCUAACUCUGUGCCAGCAGCCGCGGUAAGACAGAGGAUGCAAGCGUUAUCCGGAAUGAUUGGGCGUAAAGCGUCUGUAGGUUGUUUAAAAAGUAUUCUGUCAAAGAUUAGGGCUUAACCCUAGAUAGGCAGAAUAAACUUUUAAGCUAGAGUUUGGUAGAGGCAGAGGGAAUUCCCGGUGGAGCGGUGAAAUGCGUAGAUAUCGGGAGGAACACCAAAGGCGAAGGCACUCUGCUGGGCCAAUACUAACACUGAGAGACGAAAGCGAGGGGAGCAAAUGGGAUUAGAUACCCCGGUAGUCA
rnacentral:rRNA from 1 species